CAGCUCUUGACAUCUGGGUCGCGGUUACCGGAGACGGUAUCCUUCAGUUCGGCUGGACCCGAGACAGGUGCUGCAUGGCUCUCGUCAGCUCGUGUCGUGAGAUGUUGGGUUAAGUCCCGCAACGAGCGCAACCCUCGCCCUUAGUUGCCAGCAUUCAGUUGGGCACUCUAAGGGGACUGCCGGUGAUAAGCCGAGAGGAAGGUGGGGAUGACGUCAAGUCCUCAUGGCCCUUACGGGCUGGGCUACACACGUGCUACAAUGGUGGUGACAGUGGGCAGCGAGGCCGCGAGGCCGAGCUAAUCUCCAAAAGCCAUCUCAGUUCGGAUUGCACUCUGCAACUCGAGUGCAUGAAGUUGGAAUCGCUAGUAAUCGCGGAUCAGCAUGCCGCGGUGAAUACGUUCCC
rnacentral:rRNA from 1 species